rnacentral:tRNA from 1 species
CAGCGUGUAGCUCAUCAGCAGAGCACCGGGCUCUGGACCCGGAGGGAGCGGGGGCAGCACCCGCCGCGCUGGCCA